rnacentral:rRNA from 1 species
AGUGAACGCUGGCGGUAGGCCUAACACAUGCAAGUCGAACGGCAGCACAGUAAGAGCUUGCUCUUACGGGUGGCGAGUGGCGGACGGGUGAGGAAUACAUUGGAAUCUACUUUUUCGUGGGGGAUAGCGUAGGGAAACUUACGCUAAUACCGCAUACGACCUACGGGUGAAAGCAGGGGAUCUUCGGACCUUGCGCGAUUGAAUGAGCCGAUGUCGGAUUAGCUAGUUGGCGGGGUAAAGGCCCACCAAGGCGACGAUCCGUAGCUGGUCUGAGAGGAUGAUCAGCCACACUGGAACUGAGACACGGUCCAGACUCCUACGGGAGGCAGCAGUGGGGAAUAUUGGACAAUGGGCGCAAGCCUGAUCCAGCCAUACCGCGUGGGUGAAGAAGGCCUUCGGGUUGUAAAGCCCUUUUGUUGGGAAAGAAAAGCAGCAGGUUAAUACCCCGCUGUUCUGACGGUACCCAAAGAAUAAGCACCGGCUAACUUCGUG